GAUGAACGCUAGCGGCAGGCCUAAUACAUGCAAGUCGAACGGUAGAUCGGGUAGCAAUACUUGAUUGAGAGUGACGUAAGGGUGCGUAACACGUAUGCAAUCUACCCUCAACAGGAGUAUAGCUCGGGGAAACUCGGAUUAACACUCCAUAACAUUACGAUGUGGCAUCACAUUGUGAUUAAAACUCCGGUGGUUGAGGAUGAGCAUGCGUCUGAUUAGUUAGUUGGAGGUGUAACGGACCCCCAAGACGAUGAUCAGUAGGGGAACUGAGAGGUUGAUCCCCCACACUGGCACUGAGAUACGGGCCAGACUCCUACGGGAGGCAGCAGUAGGGAAUAUGGUCAAUGGGUNAGAGCCUGAACCAGCCAUGCCGCGUGCAGGAAGACGGCCUUNUGGGUUGUAAACUGCUUUUAUCUGGGGAUAAAAAGCCCAUGCGUGGGACAUUGAAGGUACCAGAUUGAAUAAGCACCGGCUAACUACGUGCCAG
rnacentral:rRNA from 1 species